rnacentral:lncRNA from 1 species
GGAUAUACAUGCAUCAUCUUCUCGAGCAGGUUUUGCUUGAGAAAAGGCUUUGCCAUUAGAUUUUCUAAGCAAGAGGCGGCGGAAGCGGCUUUCCUAAGCUUUUCAUAUAGGCUCCCUUGAGAUGCACCAUCCAGGUGGAGUUUUUGUAAUGGGUAGCCUAUGAGAAGAUCAAGAUAGAGGAUAUCAAAGAUGUGGAAGUCUAGAAUGACCUCGAUUUUGUCUAUUGUGAGUGGCAUGACACUUGUG